rnacentral:tRNA from 1 species
GGAGAGCUCAGUGGUAGAACGUGUGCUUAGCAUGUAUGGGGCCUGGGUUCAAUGCCCAGCACCA